GAUGAACGCUGGCGGCGUGCCUAAUACAUGCAAGUCGAACGCACAGCGAAAGGUGCUUGCACCUUUCAAGUGAGUGGCGAACGGGUGAGUAACACGUGGACAACCUGCCUCAAGGCUGGGGAUAACAUUUGGAAACAGAUGCUAAUACCGAAUAAAACUUAGUGUCGCAUGACACAAAGUUAAAAGGCGCUUCGGCGUCACCUAGAGAUGGAUCCGCGGUGCAUUAGUUAGUUGUGGGUAAAGCUACAAGACAAUGAUGCAUAGCCGAGUUGAGAGACUGAUCGGCCACAUUGGGACUGAGACACGG
rnacentral:rRNA from 1 species